GAUGAACGCUGGCGGCGUGCCUAAUACAUGCAAGUCGAGCGAACAGAUGAGAAGCUUGCUUCUCUGAUGUUAGCGGCGGACGGGUGAGUAACACAUGGGUAACCUACCUAUAAGACUGGGAUAACUCCGGGAAACCGGGGCUAAUACCGGAUAAUAUUUUGAACCGCAUGGUUCAAUAGUGAAAGACGGUUUCGGCUGUCACUUAUAGAUGGACCCGCGCCGUAUUAGCUAGUUGGUAAGGUAACGGCUUAUCAAGGCGACGAUACGUAGCCGACCUGAGAGGGUGAUCGGCCACACUGGAACUGAGACACGGUCCAGACUCCUACGGGAGGCAGCAGUAGGGAAUCUUCCGCAAUGGGCGAAAGCCUGACGGAGCAACGCCGCGUGAGUGAUGAAGGUCUUCGGAUCGUAAAACUCUGUUGUUAGGGAAGAACAAAUUUGUUAGUAACUGAACAAGUCUUGACGGUACCUAACCAGAAAGCCACGGCUAACUACGUGCCAGCAGCCGCCGUAA
rnacentral:rRNA from 1 species